ensembl:lincRNA
UUGCCAAGUGCCUAGUUCACCUUUCCAUAUUUCUUUAUUCUUCUAGAUCUUGGCCCUGCAAUUCCUAACUGCCUGUUCAGCUCCGCAAUAUCGUUUAGCAGAUUUAAAAUCUACAUUGUCCACAUGGUUCUCAACAUGAGCAUCACUUGGCCUUACCUAGAGAGAGAGAGCACACACAAGCAGGCAGAGUGGCAGGCAGAGAGAGGAAGAGAGAAAAGCAGGCUCGCUGCUGAGCAAGGAGCCCUGUGCAGUCCAUCCCAGGACCCUGGGAUCAUGACCUGAGCCGAAGGCAGCAGCUUAACCAACAGCCACCCAGGCAUCCUGUGAGAGAGUAUCGGCGAUGCUUGGGAAUGUCAAGAGGAGAACAAGAAAGCUGACAGAAUAAGGGGAGAUUUAAUCAGAAUGUCAAUGUAACACCAGGAUGACUUUUUUUUUUUUUACUAUUAAAAGGCAUGUAUUAUGUUAUUACUUAAAAAUAAACCUAUACCCUCGGUUCUGUGUACAUCUUAAUUAUAAUUAUAUGCAACCAUAUACAAAACAAAAGCCUAUUCAUAUUAUAGAUUACUAGAAAGAAGUAUUCUUAGGC